GCCGGGCAUGGUGGUGCAUGCCUGUAAUCCCAGCUACUCGGGAGGCUGAGGCAGGAGAAUGGCUUGAACCCGGGAGGCAGAGGUUGCAGUGAGCCGAGAUCACGCCACUGCACUUCAGCUCUGGGCAAUAGAGCAAGACUCUGUCUCGG
ensembl:misc_RNA Metazoa_SRP Metazoan signal recognition particle RNA